rnacentral:rRNA from 1 species
CCUACGGGAGGCUGCAGUGAGGAAUAUUGGUCAAUGGGCUUACGCCUGAACCAGCCAAGUCGCGUGAGGGAAGACUGCCCUAUGGGUUGUAAACCUCUUUUGUCAGGGAGCAACGCCGGCUACGUGUAGCCGGACUGAGAGUACCUGAAGAAAAAGCAUCGGCUAACUCCGUGCCAGCAGCCGCGGUAAUACGGAGGAUGCGAGCGUUAUCCGGAUUGAUUGGGUUUAAAGGGUGCGUAGGCGGACUGCCAAGUCAGCGGUAAAAUCGCGGGGCUCAACCUCGCUCCGCCGUUGAAACUGGCGUUCUUGAGUGGGCGAGAAGUAUGCGGAAUGCGUGGUGUAGCGGUGAAAUGCAUAGAUAUCACGCAGAACUCCGAUUGCGAAGGCAGCAUACCGGCGCCCAACUGACGCUGAAGCACGAAAGCGUGGGUAUCGAACAGGAUUAGAUACCCUAGUAGUC